GCAGAGCAUCCUACGGGAGGCAGCAGUGGGGAAUAUUGCACAAUGGGCGCAAGCCUGAUGCAGCCAUGCCGCGUGUAUGAAGAAGGCCUUCGGGUUGUAAAGUACUUUCAGCAGUGAGGAAGGUGGGUAUGUUAAUAGCAUACUCAUUUGACGUUAGCUGCAGAAGAAGCACCGGCUAACUCCGUGCCAGCAGCCGCGGUAAUACGGAGGGUGCGAGCGUUAAUCGGAAUUACUGGGCGUAAAGCGCAUGCAGGUGGUUUGUUAAGUCAGAUGUGAAAGCCCGGGGCUCAACCUCGGAAUUGCAUUUGAAACUGGCAAACUAGAGUACUGUAGAGGGGGUAGAAUUUCAGGUGUAGCGGUGAAAAUGCGUAGAGAUCUGAAGGAAUACCGGUGGCGAAGGCGGCCCCCUGGACAGAUACUGACACUCAGAUGCGAAAGCGUGGGGAGCAAACAGGAUUAGAUACCCUGUAG
rnacentral:rRNA from 1 species